rnacentral:misc_RNA from 1 species
GUACUCUCACACUCCCUAAUCCUUUGGAUUUGGGGAGCGGUGGACUUGGGUGCUUGCUGCUUUCCUUGUGGCUCACCUCAAAUGCAUCAGUGCAUCUCUUGAUUGGACAUAGUACGGCGUGAUAAGUGUCUUCGCCGGCACCUCAUAAGAGGGUGGCCGAUCGGGAGCUCUGUGCUUUCAAACUGUCCGGCUCCGGACAAUGUCUGACA